CGCGUAGGCGGCCGAUGAAGUCAGGCGUGAAAUCCCCGGGCUCAACCUGGGAAUUGCGCUUGAUACUCGUUGGCUUGAGUUCGGGAGAGGAGAGUGGAAUUCCCAGUGUAGAGGUGAAAUUCGUAGAUAUUGGGAAGAACACCGGUGGCGAAGGCGGCUCUCUGGACCGAUACUGACGCUGAGGCGCGAAAGCGUGGGGAGCAAACAGGAUUAGAUACCCUGGUAGUCCACGCUGUAAACGAUGUGUGCUAGACGUUGGGAGGCUUAGCCUUUCGGUGUCGGAGCAAACGCGAUAAGCACACCGCCUGGGGAGUACGGCCGCAAGGUUAAA
rnacentral:rRNA from 1 species